AUUGAACGCUGGCGGCAUGCCUUACACAUGCCAGUCGAACGGCAGCACGGGUGCUUGCACCUGGUGGCGAGUGGCGAACGGGUGAGUAAUACAUCGGAACAUGUCCUGUAGUGGGGGAUAGCCCGUCGAAAGCCGGAUUAAUACCGCAUACGAUCCACGGAUGAAAGCGGGGGACCUUCGGGCCUCGCGCUAUAGGGUUGGCCGAUGGCUGAUUAGCUAGUUGGUGGGGUAAAGGCCUACCAAGGCGACGAUCAGUAGCUGGUCUGAGAGGACGACCAGCCACACUGGGACUGAGACACGGCCCAGACUCCUACGGGAGGCAGCAGUGGGGAAUUUUGGACAAUGGGCGAAAGCCUGACCCAGCAAUGCCGCGUGUGUGAAGAAGGCCUUCGGGUUGUAAAGCACUUUUGUCCGGAAAGAAAUCCUUGACUCUAAUACAGUCGGGGGAUGACGGUACCGGAAGAAUAAGCACCGGCUAACUACGUG
rnacentral:rRNA from 1 species